CCUACGGGUGGCAGCAGUGGGGAAUAUUGCACAAUGGGGGAAACCCUGAUGCAGCGACGCCGCGUGAGUGAAGAAGUAAUUCGUUACGUAAAGCUCUAUUAGCCGGGAAGAAAAUUACGGUACCUGAGUGAGAAGCCCCGGCUAACUACGUGCCAGAAGCCGCGGUACUACGUAGGGGGCGAGCGUUAUCCGGAUUUAUUGGGUUUAAAGGGUGCGCAGGCGGGGGCACAAGUCAGCGGUAAGAGCGCGGGGCUCAACCCCGCUCCGCCGUUGAAACUGUGUCCCUUGAGUGCGAGAAGGGUAGGCGGAAUGCGUGGUGUAGCGGUGAAAUGCAUAGAUAUCGCGCAGAACUCCGAUCGCGAAGGCAGCCUACCGGCGCGCAACUGACGCUCAUGCACGAAAGCGUGGGUAUCGAACAGGAUUAGAUACCCCAGUAGUC
rnacentral:rRNA from 1 species